rnacentral:rRNA from 1 species
GACCGUUAAACUCUUGUUUUUACCACUGUUUCUCUGAAUUUUAAACUAAAAUUAGUUAAAACUUUCAACAACGGAUCUCUUGGUUCUGGCAUCGAUGAAGAACGCAGCGAAAUGCGAUAAGUAAUGUGAAUUGCAGAAUUCAGUGAAUCAUCGAAUCUUUGAACGCACAUUGCGCCCAUUAGUAUUCUAGUGGGCAUGCCUAUUCGAGCGUCAUUUCGACCCCUAAGCCCCUGUUGCUUAGCGUUGGGAAUCUACGGCGUAGUUCCUCAAAGUUAGUGGCGGAGUUAGGGUACACUCUCAGCGUAGUAAUUUCUCUCGCUCGUGUGGUGGCCCUGGCUGCUAGCCGUUAAAACCCCUAUAUUUUCUAGUGGUUGACCUCGGAUUAGGUAGGAAUACCCGCUGAACUUAAGCAUAUCAAUAAGCGGAGGAAAAGAAACCAACAGGGAUUGCCCUAGUAACGGCGAGUGAAGCGGCAAUAGCUCAAAUUUGAAAUCUGGCCCUCGCGGUCCGAGUUGUAAUUUGUAGAGGAUGCUUUUGGUGCGGUGCCUUCCGAGUUCCCUGGAACGGGACGCCAGAGAGGGUGAGAGCCCCGUACGGUUGGACGCCUAACCUAUAUAUAGCUC